rnacentral:rRNA from 1 species
GAUGAACGCUGGCGGCGUGCCUAAUACAUGCAAGUCGAGCGAACAGACGAGGAGCUUGCUCCUCUGACGUUAGCGGCGGACGGGUGAGUAACACGUGGAUAACCUACCUAUAAGACUGGGAUAACUUCGGGAAACCGGAGCUAAUACCGGAUAAUAUAUUGAACCGCAUGGUUCAAUAGUGAAAGACGGUUUUGCUGUCACUUAUAGAUGGAUCCGCGCCGCAUUAGCUAGUUGGUAAGGUAACGGCUUACCAAGGCGACGAUGCGUAGCCGACCUGAGAGGGUGAUCGGCCACACUGGAACUGAGACACGGUCCAGACUCCUACGGGAGGCAGCAGUAGGGAAUCUUCCGCAAAGGGCGAAAGCCUGACGGAGCAACGCCGCGUGAGUGAUGAAGGCCUUCGGAUCGUAAAACUCUGUUAUUAGGGAAGAACAAAUGUGUAAGUAACUAUGCACGUCUUGACGGUACCUAAUCAGAAAGCCACGGCUAACUACGUG